rnacentral:hammerhead_ribozyme from 1 species
AUCUAGCUGACGAGUUCCAAAUAAAACGAAACGCGCAUCCUGGAU